UAUCCUGCUAUUUUUCCUCGAAAAGUGUUAACAAUGUGUUUUCAUGAUUUGUUUCUCGCGCCAGACUUCCAUUAAUCCCUAAUAUUCCUGUCGCCAUGACGCGUGUAAAUCCAACAUGGCUGUUCAUAAAUGUCAUCAGUAAAGUUAUAUUGACGGGUCUUUAGUUUGCUUGAUAUUGAAGUAAUUUUCCGUCUGUCGCUCGUUCUUCCUUACCCCACCGCAAUUAGAACAUUUAUUUAUUAAUAUUGUUUUAAAGUGACAAUAGUAUUAUUCUUGUGAAUAUACGUAUAUAUAUAUAUAUGUUUAUGUUGAGUGUCAUUUCAAUAUGGCUAAUGUUUUGUAAUUCUUCGAUUGCGUUAUUUAUUGUUUUGAGUAGUUUGUUUUAUAGAGUAUUUGAUAAUGUAAAACAUACGCAGACACACACAUAUAUAUAUACGUAUUUAUAU